rnacentral:lncRNA from 1 species
AGAGAGAGGAUGGUGAAAACUUGAAAGAGAGAGCGUAGAGAUGAGAAGAGAGAAACGAAUUUGAUCCACAACAAAAUAGUGAGCCUGUCUCUUCUAAUCGUACAGUCCGUUUUCCACUGUGGUCUUGAUUUUAUUCCUUUACCCGCGAUUUUAAUCGUGUUUGUUUUGCAUGUACACUUGUGACUACAAGUUUUCACGGCUAAACAGUUUUGAACAUCUGAAUUGGCUAUCAAAACAAUGAUAUCAGGACAUUGGCUGACAGGAAGUGAAACAAUGGACGAUCAGCAUUAUUGCUUACGUUGGAACAAUUACCAGAGUAAUAUGACGUCGGUAUUUCAUCAACUCUUACAGAAUGAAGAUUUCGUUGACGUUACUCUGGCCUGUAAUGACCUUUCGUUAAAAGCUCACAAGGUA